GAUGAACGCUGGCGGCGUGCCUAAUACAUGCAAGUCGAGCGAACAGACGAGGAGCUUGCUCCUCUGACGUUAGCGGCGGACGGGUGAGUAACACGUGGAUAACCUACCUAUAAGACUGGGAUAACUUCGGGAAACCGGAGCUAAUACCGGAUAAUAUAUUGAACCGCAUGGUUCAAUAGUGAAAGACGGUUUUGCUGUCACUUAUAGAUGGAUCCGCGCCGCAUUAGCUAGUUGGUAAGGUAACGGCUUACCAAGGCAACGAUGCGUAGCCGACCUGAGAGAGUGAUCGGCCACACUGGAACUGAGACAUGAUCCAGACUCCUACGGGAGGCAGCAGUAGGGAAUCUUCCGCAAUGGGCGAAAGCCUGACGGAGCAACGCCGCGUGAGUGAUGAAGGUCUUCGGAUCGUAAAACUCUGUUAUUAGGGAAGAACAAAUGUGUAAGUAACUAUGCACGUCUUGACGGUACCUAAUCAGAAAGCCACGGCUAACUACGUG
rnacentral:rRNA from 1 species